rnacentral:rRNA from 1 species
AGAGUUUGAUCAUGGCUCAGGAUGAACGCUGGCGGCGUGCCUAACACAUGCAAGUCGAGCGAUUUACUUCGGUAAAGAGCGGCGGACGGGUGAGUAACGCGUGGGUAACCUGCCCUGUACACACGGAUAACAUACCGAAAGGUAUGCUAAUACGAGAUAAUAUACUUUUAUCGCAUGGUAGAAGUAUCAAAGCUUUUGCGGUACAGGAUGGACCCGCGUCUGAUUAGCUAGUUGGUAAGGUAACGGCUUACCAAGGCGACGAUCAGUAGCCGACCCGAGAGGGUGAUCGGCCACAUUGGAACUGAGACACGGUCCAAACUCCUACGGGAGGCAGCAGUGGGGAAUAUUGCACAAUGGGCGAAAGCCUGAUGCAGCAACGCCGCGUGAGCGAUGAAGGCCUUCGGGUCGUAAAGCUCUGUCCUCAAGGAAGAUAAUGACGGUACUUGAGGAGGAAGCCCCGGCUAACUACGUG